UCCUCUCUCUAUAACUCAUCAUCAUCUCAAUCGGAUCUUCGUUGGACCCGAAUAAUUUCUUAACAAAACCUAACCCUAAUUCUUCAAUGGCGAGCGAUUCCAAUGAACCUUCACGUCGCAAACACAAUCGAUCUUCUCCUUCCGAUGAGGAUACCGGAGAACCAUUGAAACGCCGUAAGCACCGCCACCAUCAUCGUCACCACCGUCACCAUCGCCACCAUAGCAAGAAGCACGUAGAGAAAUCCGAUUCGAAAUCCGAGAAAGAAAUGGGUAAAUCAAAAGGUGAGGUUGAGAACGGAGGUCAACAAGGAGAAGCGAUGAAUAUUGGUACUGUUGUUGGUGUUUCUACUUUAGGGAUUGAUUAUGAUAUGGAGGAAGGAGAAAUCAUUGAGGAUGAUGUUGUGGCUACUGCCGCUGUUGGUGAUGCUGAUGAGAUUAUCGUGACCAAAAAGUUGGGGAAUGAAGAUAAUUUGGACAUGGAAUCACAUAAAGCUCAAGGACAAGGGCCUGCAGACAAUGUGGAAAAAGUUGACAGAGAUUCCACUGUUUCAGGACGGCAUGAUGAGCAAAGGAAAAGUAGAAAGGCUGAUAGUGCUCGAGAAAGUAAGUCCAGUGACAAGCAUUUUGCAAAUGGUAGUUACACAGAUGAAUUUCAUAGAUUGGACUCUAAACCACAGAAAGAAGAUAGUUUUGCUGGUGAAGAAAGUACAGAACAAAAGAGCUAUGAUGAGGAUGAAAGUGAUUUACAGGAUCAAAUAAUAAAAUCCUCGACUCCUGAAAAUGUUGGGAAGAGGCAUAGAUCUGUUAGGGUAUCAUCUUCCCAUAAUGAACACCAUGAAGAGAGACAUGUUACGAAGUCAUCCAAGUCACCUGAUCGUUCCAGAGGAAGAUCACGAUCCAAAAGCAUUUUGGAGGAGUCUUUCCUUGUACCUAAGUCUCGUCAGAAAGAUGACACAUAUGAAAAUGAAAGCAGAUAUAGAAGUAACUUUGAUGAUGAAAAACUUGGAUACAAAAGGGACUAUCGACAUGGAAGCCGAGAGUCUUCAAGGGAUGGGGAAAAGGAGCAUAAUUCUGGUUACAGCAGGUCCUCUAGAGACCGGUACCAUAACAGAGAGAGUGUUGAUAGAUAUAGGGAGAGUAGCAUGGAGAAUGACAGGGAUAGAGUGAGAGAGAAAGACAGGGAGCGUGAGUUGGCUAGAGAAAGGCAAAGGGAGAGCGAUAAGGAGAGGGAGAGGGAAAGAGUAAGGGAGAGAGACAGAGAGAGGGAAAGAGAGAAAGCUCGAGAUAGGGAAAGGGAUAGAGAAAGAGAAUAUGAGAGGGGGAGAGACAGGGAGAGAGAGAGUUUUAGAGAGAGGGAAGAGAGAGAAAGGAGGAAUAGGGAUAGGGAAAGCAGAGGACGAAGUAGGGAGGCAGAUAGGGAUAGAUAUAGUGAUAGGUCCAGCAGGCAGCGGGAUGAUGGUCUUGCUUAUAAUAGACGUAAUAGACAUUAUGAGACUGACAUUGAGAGAGGAAGGACAAGUAAUCACUUAGAAACUGAGAACACAAAGCAAAAUGCUGUAGAGACAGAGAGUGAGAGAUCUAAAAGAGAUAAAGUUGAACAGGAGGAUUAUCAGGAAAAAGUUGUUUUCCAGCUUGCUGAACAGGAAGAAGAAGACGAACUUGAUAGAAUUAAGGAGGAAAGCAGAAGGCGAAGGCAAGCUAUUCUUGAAAAAUAUAAGGUUAAGAACUCACAGAAGGAACAAGUUACUCAAUCCGGGGACGUUGUGGAGAUUCACAUGGAUCAGUCUACUCAAAAACCUGCUGCCAGACAGAAUGUUGUGCCAGAGUUGAUUGAUGGUAAAAGCAAUGGUGCAGAUGUCCAUGUUGACGAGCCGACAUUUUCUGUUGGGAAAUCACCUCUGCAGGGUGGUCAUAUUGCUGAUGAGCAGGCUUCUGGAGUUGGUGGACUGGGACAGGGUACUCCAAAGAGUGAGAGGUCAGCUGACAUGUUUUGUGACGAUAUAUUUGGAGAAUCGCCUGCUGGCAUCAGGAAAAUGGGCAAAGGAGAUGGUGUGGCAGUUGAGCGCAGUGGCCUUCAUGAUAACUGGGAUGAUCCAGAAGGGUAUUAUAGUUAUCGGUUCGGAGAAAUUCUUGAUGGCCGUUAUGAGAUUGUUGCUGCUCAUGGCAAAGGAGUCUUUUCUACUGUUGUUCGGGCUAAAGAUCUCAAGGCUAGACCCGGUGACCCUGAGGAAGUAGCAAUAAAAAUGAUACGCAAUAAUGAAACAAUGUAUAAGGCAGGUAUGGAAGAGUUGGUCAUACUGAAGAAGCUAGUUGGUGCAGAUCCUGAAGACAAGCGCCACUGUGUUCGUUUUAUUUCUAGCUUCAAGUACCGGAAUCAUCUCUGUUUAGUUUUUGAGUCUCUUCAUAUGAAUCUCCGUGAGGUUUUGAAGAAGUUUGGACGUAACAUUGGACUCAAACUCACUGCUGUGAGAACGUAUGCGAAGCAACUUUUCAUUGCUUUGAAGCAUUUAAAAAAUUGCGGUGUGCUUCAUUGUGAUAUUAAACCUGACAACAUGUUGGUAAAUGAAGCGAAAAAUGUGCUAAAGCUUUGUGACUUUGGUAAUGCUAUGUUUGCUGGAAAAAAUGAAAUUACUCCGUACCUCGUGAGCCGUUUUUACCGUGCCCCAGAGAUUAUUCUUGGCUUGUCGUAUGAUCAUCCGAUGGAUAUAUGGUCAGUUGGUUGCUGUUUGUUUGAGCUUUAUGCUGGGAAAGUAUUAUUUCCAGGUCCAACGAAUAAUGACAUGCUUCGUCUUCAUAUGGAAUUGAAAGGUCCAUUUCCAAAAAAGAUGCUUAGAAAGGGUGCAUUUACAGACCAACAUUUUGACCAAGAUCUCAAUUUUCUUGCUACCGAAGAGGAUCCUGUUACAAAGAAGGCUAUAAGGAAGCUGAUUGUUAACAUCAAGCCAAAAGAUAUCAGUUCAAUAAUUUUGGGCUCUCCUGGUGAAGACCCAAAGAUGUUGGCUCACUUCAAAGAUCUUAUGGAGAGAAUUUUUGUGUUAGAUCCAGAAAAGAGAAUGACUGUUUCCCAGGCAUUGAGCCACCCAUUCAUCACGGGCAAGUGAAUGACGAUGGUUUUCUGACUAGGGACAUGCUGUUGCACUAGAUACUAGUGCAUUAUGAUCAUAUGAUCUUAGUUUAUUUUCAGUUCUCUAAUCAUUGGGCUUUAUCUGUUUUUAUCUACCAUCCUGGGUUAAGUGCUACGGAGAUUGGCAAGGUUGAAGUUGCAGAGAAGAUUGCUGAUUUUGGGAGAUCUAUAUCUUGGCAGUUCUUUCAGUGCAAUGUUUUCUGUUCUAUCGAUAUCUACCAGGGCUUUGAUGCAAGAUUCAGUGAUUUAGAUGCUUAAAAGGCACCCUGGAGAAGGUACCUUGGUUUGUUUGUUAGGAAUUACUGUGACACCCUUUAAUGUUGUGAAUCUCCUUGAUUCUUCUGACAUCAGCCAUAAUUUGUGUUUUCUUGGUUGUGUUAAUAUUUUAAUUUUUCUUGACAAGUUCUGAUUUCUGAACUUUAAUUUGGUCUUGCCUGAAAAAUUGCACACCUGAGGUUGGCUCGUUAAUGAGCCUCCUAGGUUAGAAUAGUAAAGCUAUCAGGAGCUAGAGUUUUAUUCUAUUUGGGGUCAUCAUUUUUUGGGAAUAAUUUGGAGUCAUUGUUAUUUCUUCUAUUUCUUAAAUCUUUUCCCAAAAACACUUUCUAAUAAGUUGCAUUGCAUCUGAUCCAUGGUAUGGUCAUCCUGGAGCAAUGUAUGACUGGAGAUAAUCAGAGGCAGCCUUGAAGUGAGAGUUGUUUCAGGUGUGGUUCCAUGAAUCUGCAGUUCUAGUAAGUAUCCUUGAAUUUCAUUACGUCUCUGGUGUAAUAGGUGGGUAUCUUUUGAAAACCUGAUAUAUUUCUAUCAAUGUAUUUCAUUCAAAGUUUUGCUAGUCCUCCAUGGAACUGAUCUACAUGGAAUAGGAUUCAAAUUCUUAACUGGUUUUGCUAAUAAAAUUGGCCAUUGUGGAUCAAAUCUAUCUCAAAUUCAAUUGCUCCUUUCGCAAACACUAACUUCCCGUGCCAGAUAUCUAGUCAUGAAAAAAAAAUCUGUCUAGCUUGCGUUGGAAUUUGACUCUGUAGAUCCCUCCUCCAGUAUGCAUUGCUUUUUUCUCCAAUCUGCAUAGUCAAGGAACAUUUGCCGAGCCUCUCAAGUUUUGGCCAAGCCUCUCUGACUCUGUCUAUCCAUUUUAUAGCCAUUAGAUUUGUUAGUCAUGACAAGCUCCAGCUCGUGACUACCUUUUACCCAUAGGGUUUGUCCUUCUCUAAGGAAUUGAGGUGUGACGUAUAGCCAAGAGUCUUUAAACUCCUUAAUGCUUGACUUCUAUUGGACUAGUAAUCUUUCUAUCUCAUGCACUGAAGUUGGAUAUCAUUGUUUUAGGUUUAUGGUAUAUACGCUGUCACACUAGGCACUGGCGGUUACUUAUGUCAUUUGUCACUUUUGUGUGUUGGUGGGUUUCUAUUUUGUAAUUUCAUCAUUACAAAAAAUCCUCCAAUUCGAAGCAUUCUAGCUUUUGCAUUCAAUUUCUUAUGUUUCUCAUAAUUUACAAUUUUUUAUCUAUUUUCUUGCAAAAUUUCUCUUUAAGCUGCUAUUUGAUUUCCACUAAUAAAUGCAUCUAAUUCCUAGUACAAUUACUUCUUUUAGUCGUCUUCCUCAUGCUUUUUAUAUUCAGAUUCAAAACAACCCAAACGAAAAAAUAACGAAAUACCCAGCAAAAAAAGUCAAAAGCAAAGGCAUUACUCUGAAAAGUAAAAUAAGAUGAAAGUUUUAUUUAAAGCUAAAUAAGAUGAAAGUUUUAUUUUUAAGUUUAAUAAGAUGAAAGUUUUAUUUUAAAAAACACGGCACAAUCAUGGAAAUGUAUACACAAAAAUAUUUAAGUUAAAUAAGAUGAAACUUUUAUUUUUAAUAAUGAAUAACUAAAGCCUGCAAAGAAAAUAUAAAAAAUAAAAUAAGGUGGAGGGUAUUUUUGUAAACAAACUUAUUCUUAGUAAUUAUGCAAUGAAUAUAAUUUUAAAUAUGACAAACCAACCAAGCAAUAAAAACUACUCCCAGCAUUACUAAUCCAGCAUAACUUGUAUCCCAACCAAACGAUCCCUAAAAGACAUAUUUUCAAAUUUAAAACUUAAACCAUAUUUUUAUGAGGAAGUGUUGCAAAUUAAAGAAUCACUAAGAACAUUUGAAAGCUCGUAAGGAGUCAAAUAGUUAGGCAUGUAAUUAAACUAUUGCUAAUCUUGCUGCAUUUUGCAAAAGUAAUUCAACAUCCAAGAUAAGAGGCAAAACAAAUGAGAAAUAGCAUAUACAUAUAUAGGUUUGGUUAUUUGGUUUAAUCGGUUAUUUUUUCAGAAAAUCGAGAACUGAACUGAAAACCGAACUUUGAAACAUUUAAACAGAAACCCACAGAAAAACUGAAAAAAUUUGAAACAAAAGAGUUGGUUUGGUCAGUUUUUUCGGUUUUAACCAAAGGGCUGGUCAUUAAAUCAAGAAUAUUAACUGAAACGGAAAUUUUGAUUUUUUGGUUUUUGGUCCGUUCAAGAUUUGUACUUUUUAUGAUAUCGAUUUUUCAAUAUGGUUCUUAAAUUAACUGGGAAAUCAAGGCAAAAGAGAUUUUGGGGUUCUCUAUUCAUUACUCAUUAGUUUAAAAUUUUCUCUAGCCCAAUUGCCCUAACAAGGCUGAAGCCCAGAGCUCUGAUGCCAAGCCUAGACUCUUUAGCCCGAUUGCCCUCACACUCUUACGUUCUAACAUUUGCCGUGCAUUGAUGCUGUACUCCCCUGCUUCAAGUCCCUUUUCCUCUUUCUUAAGAAGUCAUAGGUAGAUCUUACUCAAUUGACUUGAUAAAAUUGAAGUGUAUCUUUACUCUUGUUUCUAUACUUCUGAAUGUAAGAUAAGUUUUACCAAUAGUUCAUUCCUGUUUCUUCAACAGAAAUGCUUAUUUCGUAACCCACAAAGAAUUUGGCCAGCAGAUUAUGUACACAAUCAGGUAAAUUAUUUUAAUUUUAAAAGAUGCCAAUUUAAACAAUACAAAGUCAACAUGUAGCUGUUGAAAAAACCCAAUUAAUGAUGCUUAUCUUGGAAAAAAUUAAAUCUGAAGACUCUUUUUCAGUAGAAAAAAAGAAGAUAAAGUCCAAAAUGAUAUGCCUAAGAGCCCAUUUGGAUUGACUUAUAAGUUGCUUAUAAGCUGUUUUUAGCUUUUUUGAGUGUUUGGCUGGCCAAUUUAAAGCCAUUUCGUGCUUAAAAUAAGCCCAAUAAAUAAUUGGGUCUGUUUAGCUUAGUUUAUCUAAAACAACUUAUUAGCUGCUUUAAAUAAGCUAGUCAAACAGACACUAAAUCAACCGAACUGAAUUUUUCAAGAGUGAAAUGAAAAGACCGAAUUAAUUACAGUUCCAUUUUUGGUGUACCUCAUCAAAAAUAAAAAAUCGCACGAAAUGAACCUGAACGUCUGGAAAACCAAACCGAACACCAACUCACACCCUUGUUAAUCUUAUCAAUCACACCCUUUAAGGAAAAAGGAAAAAAGAGUGACAGUUGCGUUGUUUGGAUGUCACUAAGGGGUCAUUUGGUAGAGUGUAUAAGAAUAAUGCUGAAUAGAGUGUAUUAGUAGUGCAUGCAUUAGUAAUACAAAGAUUAUUUAUUUCUUAUGCAGUUCUUGUUUUAAUGUAUAAAAAAUAAAAUGCAUUGCAUAACUUCUACAAAAAAAUAUGUGUUUACAAAAAUACCCUCCACACUUUAGUUAUGGGAAAUGAAAAAUUUCUUGAGAGGGAUUUGAGGGGUAGUUAUGUUAUUAAUUAAUCUAAUGCAUGUGUUGAAACCCUUUGUAUUACUAAUACAUGAAAAUUCAUGGUAUUAGUAAUACACACUUCAAUAAACAAUAGAGUGUAUAACUAAAGCUAAAAAAGUGUACCAAACAAGUACUAAUAAUACACACAAUUAAUACAUGCAUUAUUUUUUCUAAUACACUCUACCAAACGAGUCCUAAUUGUCUUACAUCGCUUAGUAGUUGUUGUGGCCAAUUCAUUUGAACCUACUUUAAAUGAGCUUGGGGGAGGAGUCACUUAAAAUAACUCACUUUACACCCCCUUGGUUUGAGUGAAGUGUGAACUCACCCCAUUGUUUGUGGUUUGGUUCUCUUGUUAAUUAUCUUUUGGUGAGCACUCACAUACUUCUAUCUGACUUGACUGAACUUCUCGGGAUCUCUAUUUCUGAUUUUUUAAAGUGUUUAGCAUUCCUUCUAUGGGUUCUCAAUCUGUGUUUACCUUCUACAUUUUUAUGUCUUUAGUUGGAAUAGCAGCUGUCAUUUGAGUGUUUGUUUUUGGUUCAUGUGUAUUUGUUAUUCUUCAGAAUUCAUUGAGUCUUGUGUAUGUUGAUUCGGUUGACAUUACAAAUCACUUCUUAUUGUAUAAUAAGUGACAUUACCCAUCACUAGUUUGGAUAGGUAAGAAGGACAAAGGGCUAAAUUGGCCCUUGAACUAUGUGAAAUGGUCCAACUUUGCCCUCAAUUAAAAGUUGGGGGUCAUUCCUGUCCUCGCCAUUACAGUUUUGGUUUGAAAUCUGAACUUCUAACCAAAAGGGCAAAUUUGGAUCUUUUCUCCAUUAUAUACUAGUUAGGCUCUAGUUAUCUGGAGUAGCACAAAAAUUUGCGAUGUUGCUACGCUGUCAAAAUAAAGCAGCUUCACAACAACCAAUUUUAUUUUACAGUCAUCACUUGUGUAUUGUGAAGUAAAUUUAUAAAAAUAUAUAUCUGAAGGGACGUUUGCUCUACCUUUGUGGGUUGUCUGUUAGGUUUUGCUCUAUUCACUUAUGCCUUGAAAAAAUCUCAGCUGCAUUUACUGCACCGAUCUGUGCCUUAUAUGUGAGGGUUAUAGCUUGAAUAUAAGAAGUGGAAUGGCUGUCUUAAGAAACUUAUACUCACUCGACUUCUUUUGUCUCCUGAUCUUGUUAAUGUGAGACCAUAGUGCUAACCACCCUUCGUAUUUGUGCUAAGGAUUUAAAUUUUUUGUUGCUCAAUCACUCUGAUCAUUCUUUACUAGCUUCUUGGUGAUUAGACCAUUCGUUCUUGGUAAGUAAUACACACUUCAUGUUGGUGUGUUUUCUGGUUAUGGUUAGCAGUAGUAUUAGGGAUGAUGACUGUUUGUUUUUGAGCUUGUUGAUGUUUUCAUAGAUUGUUAAAUGAUCAUAUCAUACCUUCACUCCUUGCAAAACCGUGGAUUCAGUUCAAAUGCUAGUAAUGGAUAUAUUGCUUCAUGAUUUAGCUUGUUGCAACUUCCUUUGGUGUUGGGGAAAGUUCUCUCUAUGUAUGUAGUGGUUACUUAAACCGGUGCUCCAAUUGUGCGGUGCACUAAUGCUUAAAAAUUCCUGCCUUCACCUGGAUAUCCUGUUUAACUCCUCCGAUAUUUUAGGGCAUAACAUUUGCCAGGAUUUUGUAGCCUUAGUAGUGCAAAUCUCAUCUAGGAAACGCGACCUUUGUCUACUUUGUUUCUUCUUCUUCAUUCUAAUGACGUGUGUGGUCCAGCUCAAAAGUUUGUGUUUGGGCAGAGCCAUUAUUGAUGAUGAAUAUGAAUAUCAAUUUAUGUUUCUCUUAGCUUCAAGUUCCAGCAUCUGUUGAAGUCUUUAUCAAUAGCGAAAAAGAGGCUUGAGGUCUGUUUGCUGCAUUGUAAAUAAAUCGCCGACUUUUAACGAUCGGAUGUGCAACUAGAAAAAGAAAUAAUGUAUGUAUAUAUAACACACAAUGCAUAUAUACAUAUACAUGUUGUGAUUAGAGAGUAUUUAACCAUAUUCACAAGUAAACGGACAAAGCAGUUGAAUUUUCCUUUUUAACUAAUUGAAAUGCAUAUUUUAUUUGUUCAA